CAGCCGAGCGGUGGACCUACCCCAAAUCCUCCGCUUGUGCCUUCCGAGAAGAGCCGCAGAAACCAGAAAUCUGUCGCCACUCCCCCAUGAAGGCGACGCCGGGCUCGGACGGGCCCACAGUGCAACCCCGACCACACCGGCGGCAAUAACCCCUACAUCACCGCCCCCACAUCUUCUCAGGUCCAGAUCGGCGGCGACCGCUUCCUCUCCUAGCAGAUACGGCCUCCCAUGGUGGUGGCGGAACACAACGCCUGAGGAGAUUAUUCUGAAACUUGCGGAACUACAGGAGACAGACCAUGUCCGGGAAUUUGUGACUAAUCCCCAAUUUUCUUGCAGGCUAGCAGAUCUGUCGGUCGCUUGAGCAUCAAUUCACAUCCAUCCAAUGCAGACUAGCAGUAGUUGGAUCAUACUAUAUGCCAGGAUUAUGUACUUAGUCUGAUUAUGUUGUACAUUUUUAAAUUUUAUUUGUCAUAGAUCAUAGUAAAACAUUGAUUUUGUUUCUGAUAUCUUAACUUAGAUUCAUGUUAAGAUACUUCAGUAUAUUCUCGUAAAUCAUAUAGACCAGUCAUCCAGUAACCAAUUGCACUUUAUGGUAUAUUCACUGUAAGGAAUUCUCGUAAAUCAUAUCGACCAAUCAUCUAGUAACUAGUUUUGCUUUA